UUUUAGGCUGCAGGAGAGACCCUUAUCAAAAGGAGAAGGGCGCCGAAGGUGCAAGCCCUGAAAAGAACAGGGCGAAUCUCUCAGGCAAAAGGACUGCAGCCUUGGA
rnacentral:ncRNA from 2 species